UACAACUCGGCCAUUUGCCUCGCAAGUGGUAAAUUUGUGAAUUCAACAGACAUUUUGGGGGGGGGGGGGAUUAUCAGUUCGAUCAACAACAAAUGGUAAACACUGAAAAACCUGAAUAGUUAAUAUUUUUUUUUUUUUCAAUUUUGUGUUUCCCUGACAUCUGUGCGGGCACCAGACCCGUUAACAAAUACAAAAUAACGCGACGCAAAAGGAUGAUACACUCGGGGCGUACGAGACUCGAGAAAAAAGUAAGUCGAGUGGGAGUGGGUGGAGGGGUCCAGGUGGGUCAAGGGAUGGAGGAAUCAACGACUGGUGGUCAAUGGUGGAGGCAACAGUAUCCUCCCUAUCAUCAUUAUCAUCACCAUCAUCAAGGCAGUUACUAUCCGUCCCAAUCUCUAGCACACAUUCCUGUCAGUAGCAUGAAGCAAUCCUAUAUGCAGUUGACGUGGGUCUUUCACGACGAUGAGGCGCAAAUCAACAAAAAACUGCCAAAGGAAUUGUUGCUCAGGAUUUUGUCAUAUUUGGACGUCGUGUCACUAUGCCGUUGUGCCCAGGUGAGCAAAGCGUGGAAUGUAUUGGCUCUCGAUGGAUCAAAUUGGCAGAGGAUCGAUUUGUUCGAUUUCCAAAGAGACGUAGAGGGACCAGUAAUAGAAAAUAUAUCGAGACGAUGUGGUGGUUUUCUUCGUCAAUUAUCCCUCCGCGGUUGUCAGAGUAUCGGCAACAAUUCAAUGCGCACCCUCGCUCAAUCAUGUUCAAAUAUUGAAGAACUGAACCUCAGCCAGUGCAAGAAAAUCUCCGAUAUAACGUGUGCAUCGCUGAGCAGUCACUGUCCAAAACUUCAGCGAUUGAAUUUAGACUCGUGUCCAGAGAUAACGGAUUUAGCAAUCAAAGAUCUUUCGGAUGGUUGUCCACUACUGACACACAUCAAUUUAUCGUGGUGUGAAUUAUUGACUGACAAUGGGGUUGAGGCGUUGGCACGUGGUUGUCCAGAGCUCAGGAGUUUUCUCAGUAAAGGAUGUCGACAACUCACGGACAGGGCUAUCAAGUGCUUGGCACGAUACUGUCCCAAUUUGGAGGCCAUCAAUCUUCAUGAGUGCAGGAAUAUCACGGACGACGCGAUACGUGAAGUGAGCGAGAGGUGUCCUCGACUGCAUUACGUUUGUAUGUCCAACUGUCCAAAUUUGACUGAUGCAUCGCUGGUGACAAUUGCUCAACACUGUCCUCUGCUCAGUGUUUUAGAAUGUGUUGCCUGUACUCAUUUCACAGACGCCGGAUUUCAGGCCCUGGCAAGAAAUUGCAGAUUAUUGGAAAAGAUGGAUUUGGAGGAAUGUGCUCUCAUUACUGAUGCCACACUUAUUCAUUUGGCGAUGGGCUGUCCACGUCUUGAAAAAUUGAGUUUAUCACACUGUGAGCUAAUAACUGAUGAGGGGAUUCGACAGCUGGCUCUGUCCCCCUGUGCCGCUGAGAACCUCGCUGUUCUUGAACUCGACAACUGCCCAUUAAUAACAGACGCCAGUCUAGAUCAUCUACUUCAGGCCUGCCAUAAUCUCGAGCGUAUCGAGUUAUACGAUUGUCAACUCAUCACAAGAUCUGGGAUACGUAGACUUAGAGUAAUGAUCUCCAUUAAUUCCUGUCCCCAUUGAAAGUUUUCAACUUUACAGAAUUUCCUGAAAUAUUAUACAACGGAGUUUCCACUCACCUACCAAACAUUAAAGUCCAUGCCUACUUUGCACCAAUGACACCGCCACCAAGUGCCGGUGCAUCACGACAACGAUAUUGUCGUUGCUGCGUCAUCCUGUGAUUCCGAAACCAGAGAACAAUCGUUAUUUUUUCAUUGUGUCAAGUGAAAUAAUCAAGCAGAGGAUGAUUCCUGUGAGUCAUAAAAAGCAGAAACUAUUAAUGCUUGACUCAAAGACUUAGAUAAAAUGGGUGAUUCAUUAAUCGAGGACUAAUAAUCACCAGAUGCGAAGACCCAUUAGUUUCAUUUCAUAUAUAUUUUUUUUAAUCAAUGAAAAAUUACAAUUUUUUCAUCACUCGACUGCACAUUUGAUUAGUAGUCUUCAUUGUCCUUGGUUUAAAAUGAUCGGAAUUUUCUUUUUUAAAUCUUAAAAAGAAUUCACAAUGGUUCUUUCGGCGACAGAUAUGAACCAGGAGAGUACAGACUGAAAAAAAAAUUUAACGAAACAAAAAAAAACUAAUAGCAUUCUAAUAUCUAACUAAAUUGCUGAGAUUGGGGGAAUGAAAUUGCGAAGUGGUGAACGUGAUUGAUUGGGCAUUCGACUCGAUGGACAGUGAGUUGAACAAUUCCCUCCGAAAAUUAAUUAUUAUCGGAAUUUUUUUUUAGUAAUUAAAUCCACAACACAAUUCUACAAAAUUUCGGAGUUUUUUGGUGCAGAGACGAGACUAUCGUAGAACAUUUUUGCCUGCUGAAGUCAAAUUCUCAAGUCAAUUCUUAUGAAAUGAUUAAUUUGCUAUAAAAAAAUUUUAUCCCUGAAAAAAAAAAACAAAAUUGUUUUUCAGAAAAAUUUCUCCAUUGGAAAAGUUUUUUUUCUCACUUCUUUCAUAGUAUGAGAAUCGAACUAAAGUUGAUUCUUUUAUGUUAUUCAACGCUCUUUCCCAAUUUUGAAACUUAAAAAAUCUUUUUUUUCAUUUUAAGUUCAUAAUAGAGAACUUCAAAAAAUUGAAACCAAAUUUUUUUCUUUUGUAUGUGAUCCCCAAAACCAAUAUUCGGUUAAAAAAAUACGUAAAACGUUGUUUAAUACUUAUUCAUUCGCUUACAAAAUCGAUUUUCAAAAGUGAUAAAAACGUCUGUGACGUCAAUUCAUCGGAGUCCGAAAUUCUCGUGGUGACCAUACGAUUUGGUCGCAUGGCCUCCACUAAAUGAAUGUAAAUGAAUAUUUUUGCAAAAACGAUUAAACUAAGUAAAUGAAUAUCUGAUAAAAAAAUUUUUUUUUAGUCGAAAAACGAUGACAUUUUAUGUGAUUUGGCCAGUGGAUUCGGCAUCAACAUGCGAAAAUCUGUUCAGAGGUCACAGUCUCAUUCCCCUAGUUAAAACCCAAUGAAAUUUUGCAACUCCCUGCAAUCGGAUUUCAUAUGGUUUUACCACUUCGCUGCUGAUUCGUUGUUUUCAGCCAAAAAAUUAUAACUUCAUCGUGAAAAAAACAAUGAAUUCAAAAUAAAUUUAGAUAAUCGAAAACCUUCAAUUUUCUUGUGCAAUACGAUAGGGUUGAGCAAUUUACCGAAAGAACUUUUGGCGAAUGCCUCAUUCUACAAAUUUGAGAAUGAAUUGAAUUAUAAAUUUUUGCAAUCUUACACGGAGAGAAAUAUUUAAUAAAAUUUGCGUAAUUUACGUAAUCUAUAAUCAAUUUUGAUUUCUACUAAUUUUUUGUAGAAAAGAAAAAGAAUAAUUCUGAAUGUAAAAUUUCGGGAGAAGUCUAGAGAAUUUUCACGUAUGUUCUUCGAAAAAAAAAUCACGUUUAAGUCAAUAAAAUUUUAGUUUUAAUUCAAUUUUAAUUUUCUUUUAAUCUUUGAGUGUCAGCACCAGAAUCUUUUUCUCGUCAUCAUGUCGCUCCUUUUUUCAUGUGCUAACACCAGAAAUUUUCGUAGAACGAGCUCUUCGUGCGUUACAUUAUCGCGCCGAUAAAUGCAAUUUUAGACACUCAAUUGUAGACUUUGAUCAAGAAGUUUAAAUUAUUUUACGAUAUCUGUGGAAAAAAUAUCGAAAAGUGGGAAUGUAAUGUUUACCUGAGUGUCUAAAAUUAAAUUGCAGACGUUGAAUUGUAAACUUUCCUGAAAAAUCUUCAAAUAUUUUACGAUAUUUAUAACAAAAAUAUGGAAAAAUUUAAACGCAACGUUCACCAAAAUAACAAUAAUUCUUAUAUUAUUUUUCUCUCUGUGUUCUUCGUGGUUGAUCGGGUUCAGCGAACAGUUUACGUGAAGAAACGUAAAAUUUCAGUUCUCUCCUCAUAAUUUUCAUUGAAUUAGACUUUUCAUCAUUUGGAAAUGUAAUUUAAUCGCUCUUUUCUGGUACUUUUUAAUAAAUAUUUUUCUCCGUGUUUGCCCGAACGAUUAUUAAUAUUCGCUAGCGUAAGAAACGUAUCUCGUUCUAUCUGAUUAAUAGAUUAAAUAAUGAGAAGAGAGUGAGGCGAUAGAUAUAAAGAAAUAUAAGAUAGAUAGAUAUGUUUUAUACGCUAAAUAUCGUCACUAGAAUGAAAACGUACCUUAAUCGUCGUCUAUUAUAACUUGUAACACCUAAUGCGUACGUCGAGAUUGAAUUCCGUUAAUCUAGAACUUCGUUAUAAUUGUUACUCAUAAAUUCCAUGAUAAUUCAAAUGUUUGAAUUGUUCAGGAAAAUGGUGCAUCAAACGUCAGACGUUAAUAUUGACGCACACGUCAUACGAUUCGUGAGAACAGAAAAGACCGCAUUUUUAUCCUUUUCGAAAAAUUUUUAAUUGACGGAAUCAAUUUUCUGAUAUCAAUCAGACUAGCCGAAGAGUAUUCAACUCAUCGUGACAGCAAAAACAUAAUAAUUUGAGAAAAUUUUUUUUCUAUUUUGAUCUCAUACGCUGAUCCCUGUCAGGAUUUUUACAUUAGAAUUACUCAUAACAAUUCGUUGGCGUAUUUCCACAUGAAAAAUAACAAUAUCUGCUGAAAAUUAUUGCUACCCCCUGGACUACGUGUUAAAAAAAAUUGAUUCCCCGAAAUUGUAUAAUUUUGGGAAUUUUCAUUAAACUAUUAAUGGCUCGUGACAUUUUAUUGAAUAAAACAUUUGGUUUGUCCAAUAACGACUUUACUAAUUUGUCAUUGAUUAUUAUUUUCAUCUAUGUAUUGAGAAUAAAUUUGGAUGAUACACGAAAA